AUGAAGUACUGGGUGAUACAAGCAGCACGUACAUUUACAUACAUCUUGCAGGCAUUUCUAAGUAGUGCAAGGACUGGCAACUGGCUUUCAGUGUUCAGAAAUUUAAAAUUCUGCACUUCACUGAAUGAAAAAAACUUGGUACCCUACAACUACAACAGCAGUAAUUGGAAUCAGUCAACUCUUAUAGAUACAUUUCCACAUACAAGUGAAAGGUCCUGUCCAAAAUACCACAUAUGAGACAAGAAGAAAGAAUUUUGGCAUGAGUGGAAGAAGGAGGAGAAGAAGAAUCUGGAAGAGGAAGAAAACCUAGAAAAUAAUUAAGUAGCAUCUAUCAGAGCUAAUAGUAUUGAAAUUUGACCAGGGCAAUUAACACAGUGACCAUUGUACCAAGUUAGAAUGGUCAUCAGAAGAAGAUGGAGCUGAGAUUCUUCCAUCUAAUCUAAGCAUGUGAUCAGUUAUUUUACUUAGACAAAGACAAGCAAAUGAAGUGGAGUUACUGUUAUUGGUAGGAAAGAGGUAAAAGCUGGGACAAAAGAUGGCGAAGAUAUUGUGGACUGUUUUCAUCUCUUUGUAACUGAAGAAACACUGACUAAUUACAUAUACAAAUACUCACAUUGUUCAAUUAAGGUAUAUGCUUUGUAUGAGCCAAAUUCUUUUUACAAAAAGUAAUGCAGAUAUUUAUUAGGGCUAGCAACCAAAUGGUCCAUACAAAUUUGAUAACACUGCACCCGCUGUCAUGAAACGUUUAAUAUAUACAGGUAGAAAUAUAACAGGUGAUAAUUAAAGCUCACCUCAAUUCCAUUGGCUGAUGAACUGAUGACCCAACAACAACUAUAGUUUAAUUUAAUUGGAUAGAUAAAAAAAUCUAUUCACAAAGCGGUGGCAGAAAAACACACACACACACACACACACACACACACACACACACACACACACACACACACAGUAAGUCUCCUCUGACAUGCAGUUAUGAUACUGAUCAGACUGAUCCAACAACAAGGGAACACGCAAAACCCGAAAUCGUCACCUAUUAUAAUCAGCCAACAAGAAAUGUCAAUGUGAUGGAGCAUCUGAAAGAACAACAUUCCAUGACUUGAGUAUCAUGUAUGUUGUCUACGAGACUUUUUUCCUUCAGUUUUAAAUAGUACUAUCACAAAUAGCCAAGUAAUAUAUAAAGAAAAAACAAAUGUCAUUAUUACUGGGAGACAAUACCUGGUGCUAACAUAACCACAAACUGUGCAUAGGAGUACAAUGGAAAAUUUGUCUGAUCCUCUACAACAAGUUACCAAUGAAACUGAAGUUUCUGACAUUGAAAAACUCAGUGGUAUAUGUCAAGUCUAUCCACGAUGCAAAAAUUAGAAGACAAAAAAGGCAUGUAUUAAUUGUCAAAAAUAUUUGUGUAAUGAACAUGCUUGAUAAUGUGAAGUGCAAAGCUCAGAUGCAUGAUAAAGAUUAAGUCACAAAAAUUAAAUAAAAAGAAAUACUUUUUUCCAGUUCUGUUUUAUAAGUGCCUUA